rnacentral:rRNA from 1 species
GACGGAGGAUGCAAGUGUUAUCCGGAAUCACUGGGCGUAAAGCGUCUGUAGGUGGUUUAAAAAGUCCACUGUUAAAGAUUGAAGCUUAACUUCAAAAUGCCGUGGAAACUUUUAAACUUGAGUAUGAUAGGGGUAGAGGGAAUUCCAGUGGAGCGGUGAAAUGCGUAGAUAUUGGAAAGACCACCAAUGGCGAAGGCACUCUACUGGGCCAUUACUGACACUGAGAGACGAAAGCUAGGGGAGCGAAAUGGG